rnacentral:tRNA from 2 species
AAAGUUUUAGCUUAAUUUUAAAGCACUUGAUUUGCGUUCAAGCGAUGUGAGGAUAUACUUGCAAACUUUA